UGCCAGCAGCCGCGGUAAUACAGAGGUGGCAAGCGUUGUUCGGAUUUAUUGGGCGUAAAGGGUCCGUAGGCGGACUGGAAAGUCGGAUGUGAAAGCUCACAGCUCAACUGUGGAACUGCAUUCGAAACUUCCAGACUAGAGUAUGAGAGGGGUGAAGGGAUUUCCCGGUGUAAGGGUGAAAUCUGCAGAGAUCGGGAAGAACACCAGUCGCGAAGGCGCUUCACUGGCUCAAGACUGACGCUGAGGGACGAAAGCUAGGGUAGCCAACGGGAUUAGAUA
rnacentral:rRNA from 1 species